rnacentral:rRNA from 1 species
GACGAACGCUGGCGGCGUGCCUAAUACAUGCAAGUCGAACGCAGUGGGGACGGGUGAGUAACACGUGGGUAACCUCCCAUCAGAGGGGAUAACACUUGGAAACAGGUGCUAAACCGAUAUUGAUGUAUGGACUCGCGGGGCAUUAGCUAGUGGGGGAGGUAACGGCCCACCAAGUCUACGAUGCAUAGCCGGCCUGAGAGGGUGAUCGGCCACACUGGGACUGAGACACGGCCCAGACUCCUACGGGAGGCAGCAGUAGGGAAUCUUCGGCAAUGGACGAAAGUCUGACCGAGCAACGCCGCGUGAGUGAAGAAGGUUUUCGGAUCGUAAAAUUCUGUUGUUAGAGAAGCGGUAUCUACCCAGGAAGCAACGGCUAACUACGUGCCAGCAGCCGCGGUAAUUC